ACUAGGCACGGUGGCGCGUGCCAGUAGUCCCAGCUACUCGGGAGGCUGAGGCUGGAGGAUCGCUUGAGCCCAGGAGUUCUGGGCUGUCAUGUGCUAUGCCGAAGUGGUGUCCGCACUAAGUUCGGCAUCAAUAUGGUGGCCUCCCGGGAGUGGGGGACCACCAGGUUGCCUAAGGAGGGGUGAACCGGCCCAGGUCAGAAACGGAGCAGGUCAAAACUCCCGUGCUGAUCAGUAGUGGGAUCACACCUGUGAAUAGCCACUGCACUCCAGCCUGGGCAACAUAGUGAGAUGCCGUCCCU
rnacentral:SRP_RNA from 1 species